rnacentral:RNase_P_RNA from 1 species
GAAGCUGGCUAGGCAGUCGCUGCGCGGCGUGUUCGCGGAGAGGAAAGUCCGGGCUCCAUAGAGCAGGGUGCCGGUUAACGGCCGGAGACCGUGAGGUCAUGGAAAGUGCCACAGAAAACAAA